CUAUCCAGCGGUCAUGUGAGAAACAACGCAUGCUUGCUUGCUUGUCUAGCUUCACAAAUAGCACUUCAUGCUUUUUGCCACCCUGCUUAUCUCUACCACAUCAUUUAUAUCGCAUGCUCUGCAGCUUGGACUCAUCGACAUUUGCUGGGAAUUCAAGGACUGUUCUACCUCCUCUGCACUGAGCUCAGCAUCAUUGGUCAUACUGGCUAUCGGCUUCCACUGCUUGUGAUCCCUUGGCCCCACUUCUCAUGACUCAUCCUCUGACCUGGCCCUGCAUCAUUUAGGCUUGCUAUGCACUUUACAUGUCAAGUAUCUUCCUCAAACUGAUUAGCACAGCCUCCUGCACCCCAUAUUCACAUGUAUAAAACUGGCAGCUGGGAGAUGUCACAUGCAGCGGCUGCUCUUCACAAACAGUUUGCCCCUAUGAACUUCCUGAAGUGCACUUUCUUUGCUUAGAACAAAGAUGUGCCAUUUUCUGCCUGAGGGCCAAAUUCCAGUAUAGAGAAGAUCUUGAGGACUACAUUCCAGAGAAUUUGAAGAACUUUGCAAUUUUGAUAAAAUCUUAUUGAAAAAAGGACUGAAAAAAACCAUCUCUGUCUGCAUCACACAAUUCAGUAGGUACAACUGUUUCCAACCAUGGAGGUUCUGAUAAUGUGGACGCUAUCAAUACAACUGCUGAAGGAAUUGAGUGUGCCAUAUAGACAUGGCUGAAUAUACAGGCCUUCAAAUCCAGACUUUUCAGAGCAAAACACAAAAGCCUGGACCAGGAUCUGUCAGUUUUUCCCACAUUCAGCAUGAUGAUGAUGAUGAUGAUGA